UACGAAGGGUGCUAGCGUUGUUCGGAAUUACUGGGCGUAAAGCGCGCGUAGGCGGCAACUCAAGUCAGGGGUGAAAUCCUGGGGCUUAACCCCAGAAUUGCCUUUGAAACUGUGUUGCUAGAGUGUCGGAGGGGAUAGCGGAAUUGCUAAUGUAGAGGUGAAAUUCGUAGAUAUUAGCAGGAACACCGGUGGCGAAGGCGGCUAUCUGGACGACAACUGACGCUGAGGCGCGAAAGCGUGGGGAUCAAACAGG
rnacentral:rRNA from 1 species